AGUCUCCUGGAACGGAGCGUCGCAGAGGGUGAGAAUCCCGUGUAUGACAUGGACUGCCAGUACAGUGUGGUAUGCUCUCAAAGAGUUGAGUUGUUUGGGAAUGCAGCUCUAAAUGGGUGGUAAAUUCCAUCUAAAGCUAAAUAUUGGCGAGAGACCGAUAGCGAACAAGUACCGUGAGGGAAAGAUGAAAAGAACUUUGGAAAGAGAGUUAAACAGUACGUGAAAUUGUUGAAAGGGAAACGUUUGAAGUCAGUCGUGUUGGUCAGGGAUCAACCUGGCUAUUUUGCUAGGUGUAUUUUCUGGCUGACGGGUCAACAUCAGUUUUUGACCACUGGAGAAAGGCGGAGGGAAUGUGGCACCUUUUAAGGUGUGUUAUAGCCCUCAGUCANAUGCAGUGGUUGGGACUGAGGAAUGCAGUGCGCCACACGG
rnacentral:rRNA from 1 species